rnacentral:rRNA from 1 species
AUGAACGCUGGCGGCGUGCCUAAUACAUGCAAGUCGAGCGAACGGACGAGAAGCUUGCUUCUCUGAUGUUAGCGGCGGACGGGUGAGUAACACGUGGAUAACCUACCUAUAAGACUGGGAUAACUUCGGGAAACCGUAGCUAAUACCGGAUAAUAUUUUGAACCGCAUGGUUCAAAAGUGAAAGACGGUCUUGCUGUCACUUAUAGAUGGAUCCGCGCUGCAUUAGCUAGUUGGUAAGGUAACGGCUUACCAAGGCAACGAUGCAUAGCCGACCUGAGAGGGUGAUCGGCCACACUGGAACUGAGACACGGUCCAGACUCCUACGGGAGGCAGCAGUAGGGAAUCUUCCGCAAUGGGCGAAAGCCUGACGGAGCAACGCCGCGUGAGUGAUGAAGGUCUUCGGAUCGUAAAACUCUGUUAUUAGGGAAGAACAUAUGUGUAAGUAACUGUGCACGUCUUGACGGUACCUAAUCAGAAAGCCACGGCUAACUACGUG